rnacentral:lncRNA from 1 species
GCAGACCAAGCCCGGCCUCUGUCCAGCUCCUCUUCCAGUUCAAAGCCCAGAAGUAGGUACUGACAAGGUGUGUGCGGGAUGGGUGCAGUGGAAGGGAUUCUAAGCUCCUCCAAGUCCUCUCCUGGGACACAACGGGUGGAGAGGCACACGUUCUUAAUCAAACAGUGGGACUCAUUCCCCAAACUUCUGAAGCUGAGGUCUGUAUUCGGCAAGAUGUUGACUGCAAGAAGUCUAGAGAGUUCCAGGAUGUGAGAAAGUCAUAAAGAUAAGGUGGAGUUGCUUUGGCCAUGCUCUAGCAACAAGACUCAACCAAUUAAAUCGAGCCUGGCUUCCACGGAGACUGCAAAAAUCACAACCGCCUACAAAGUCUGAAGAUCUUAUCAAUGAAGGACCAUAAGAAAAAUAAUCAAAUUAACACAAGUUUCCUGUUGGUGUGAAGAGACUCCAAAAAUUAAAACAAAAACCCAACUUUCUACUCCCCCAAGAAAACCCCAAUGGCAGAAAGAGAUGACCGGAAGAUGCUUUAAAUAACGAAGAUCGAAGAUCAGGGAAUACCAGCUUUCUGAGUCACAGCCUCUCCCUGGAGAGGUGAAAAAACCCUGUAGGCUCUGACUCCGUUCUGCAGCACAGAGCUCAGGAGCGCCCCUUGCCAGAAGAGCAUCAGGACCAUAGCUCUUGCCGGCAUUUACAACUGCUGCUUGUUGGGAGAGCCCUGAUUCUCAGGUCUGUGUCUGCACCCCAGCACCAGAGGGAGGCCAACACAUUUCAGUCAGACGGAAAGAGGAAAGACAGAGGAAGCCAAGGAGACAACAGAGGCAAGGUCCUCCCUCCUAUGACGGAACUGGUGGCAUUUCCUAAUGCUGCUGCUAUACUAAAAUACCAGAGGCUGGGUAUUUUAUAAAGGAGAAGGAGUUUACUUAGCUCUGGAGGCUGAAAGCAUAGAUCACAUAAGUCCUUAGGAAUGGUGGGAAUUGAUAUGUGGACAAGAUCACAUAUAGAAGCUAGAGAAAUUUAAAGACCAGAGAGUAUUCUUUUGGAAAGAACUUAAUCUUGUGGGAAAUGAUUAAGGUCCCAGGAGAUCUUUUGUCCCUAAGCCUGGGUCCUAAUGACCUUCAGCUAAGGCUCCAACUUUUAAAGUUCCCACUGCCACCCAACAUGGCCAAGUGGAAUGUCUAGC